rnacentral:rRNA from 1 species
GACAGAGGGUGCAAACGUUGCUCGGAAUUACUGGGCGUAAAGCGUGCGUAGGCGGUUUAGUGUGUGGGAAUUGAAAGCCCGGGGCUCAACUCCGGAUCCGGUUCCCAAACUGCUAGACUUGAGAGUAUCAGAGGAGAGCGGAAUUCCCGGUGUAGCGGUAAUAUGCGUAGAUAUCGGGAGGAACACCAGUGGCGAAGGCGGCUCUCUGGGGUAUUUCUGACGCUGAGGCACGAAAGCCAGGGGAGCGAACGGG